rnacentral:rRNA from 1 species
CAGUAGCCGCGGGAAUACGGAGGGUGCAAGCGUUAAUCGGAAUUACUGGGCGUAAAGCGCACGCAGGCGGUCUGUCAAGUCAGAUGUGAAAUCCCCGGGCUUAACCUGGGAACUGCAUUUGAAACUGGCAGGCUAGAGUCUUGUAGAGGGGGGUAGAAUUCCAGGUGUAGCGGUGAAAUGCGUAGAGAUCUGGAGGAAUACCGGUGGCGAAGGCGGCCCCCCGGACAAAGACUGACGCUCAGGUGCGAAAGCGUGGGGAGCAAACAGGAUUAGAUACCCGAGUAGUCCCUGUCUCUUAUAC